GACCGCGUAGCUCAGUUGGCAGAGCAUUGGGCUAGUAUUCCAAAGGUUGUAGGUUCGAUUCCCACCGUGGUCA
rnacentral:tRNA from 1 species